UCCCAGACUCCUACGGGAGGCAGCAGUGGGGGAUAUUGCACAAUGGGGGGAACCCUGAUGCAGCGACGCCGCGUGGGUGAAGGAGCGUUUCGGCGCGUAAAGCCCUCUCGGCAGGGAAGAAGGAGGACGGUACCUGACUAAGAAGCCCCGGCUAACUACGUGCCGGCAGCCGCGGGAAUACGUAGGGGGCAAGCGUUAUCCGGAUUUACUGGGGGUAAAGGGGGGGCAGACGGCAGCGCAAGCCAGGAGUGAAAGCCCGGGGCCCAACCCCGGGACUGCUCUUGGAACUGCGCGGCUGGAGUGCAGGAGGGGCAGGCGGAAUUCCUGGUGUAGCGGUGAAAUGCGUAGAUAUCAGGAGGAACACCGGUGGCGAAGGCGGCCCGCUGGACUGCGACUGACGUUGAGGCCCGAAAGCGUGGGGAGCAAACAGGAUUAGAUACCCCAGUACA
rnacentral:rRNA from 1 species